CUCGUCCUUAACAAACAAAGACAUUGCACAUCCGGGUUCCCUGUGUUUCCGAUUAAUAGCGCUACUUAUCGGACAAAUUAAAGCCGGUGACAUUAAACAACGAAAUGCAUCGUCUGCUGAUAACUCUACAAAGGCUUGUCUAUCAGUUGCUACGGCAAGAAAUGGUGGAAGAGGAUAAAAUUGUGCACCAUGUGUGGCAUUGUCUAUAGGGCGCGGCAAACUGAUUACUUUAUAGAGUGUAAAACGAAAUGGAAACUCAAAAACAGUGUACACUUUCCAGACAUCGCCCUUCUGGAUGGAUGGACUCAAGGACCAUCCUGACGGCAGCACAGAUUUAAUUUCUUUCAGGGCGGCUUGAACUUGCAGCGGGGGAAAAAGGGUAGCUGGUAGACGUUCCAUAGCCAUAACAGCCAAUCCAACGGCAAAGUUAUCCAACACCUCUUCGAUCCAUCCCACGGCGGACCCAAUUUGACGGAACGCAUCUCCAACUUUCGUGGCCUCUCGUUCAAUUUUUGCAAAAGCAAUCUGUAGCUCGGCUACGGCGUCGCCACUUGCCUUAGUCUCCCACAGCGUCUCGUUAAUAAGAGAAGCAUGAACUUCCAGGGCAUGCACAAUGGAUGU